UACACUCCUGCGGGAGGCAGCAGUGGGGAAUAUUGCACAAUGGGCGCAAGCCUGAUGCAGCCAUGCCGCGUGUAUGAAGAAGGCCUUCGGGUUGUAAAGUACUUUCAGCGGGGAGGAAGGCGAUAAGGUUAAUAACCUUGUCGAUUGACGUUACCCGCAGAAGAAGCACCGGCUAACUCCGUGCCAGCAGCCGCGGUAAUACGGAGGGUGCAAGCGUUAAUCGGAAUUACUGGGCGUAAAGCGCACGCAGGCGGUCUGUCAAGUCGGAUGUGAAAUCCCCAGGCUCAACCUGGGAACUGCAUUCGAAACUGGCAGGCUAGAGUCUUGUAGAGGGGGGUAGAAUUCCAGGUGUAGCGGUGAAAUGCGUAGAGAUCUGGAGGAAUACCGGUGGCGAAGGCGGCCCCCUGGACAAAGACUGACGCUCAGGUGCGAAAGCGUGGGGAGCAAACAGGAUUAGAAACCCGAGUAGUCC
rnacentral:rRNA from 1 species